rnacentral:lncRNA from 1 species
UAAAUAGGCUUAGAGUAUCUCUUAAACAAAACAAAAAAAGUAAACUACUAUAUGAAUUAAUAUCAACUCACCGAAAAUUCUUCAUUAUUUUUAUUUGAUGGAAAUUCACGAGCGAAAUAGCUAGUACAACAGUGAAUGUCGAAUACUCAAAACUGAAAACAAGAUCGCGAACAGGACCAGCAACUUCGAACAAAAUCGUCGGCACGAUCUCGACUCAAAGAAAUUGAUGGGGGCAGCAUAGGUGUGCUUUUGGGAGGCAGAUCGUGACUAGUUCCAUGACUGUUCGUGCUGUAUUUUUGUGGAGGUCGUGGCUAAAUUUUGGGCUAGAUUUUGGUGGUAUUUAAUGAAGGAAAAUGGGAGGAGUUGUGACUACUUUCAACUGACUUUAACAAAGAGGGGGGAGCUGUUUGUCUGGUUUAGAUGGCUCCCCUUUCUUUAUUUUUUCUCUCCUCUUAUUUAUAAAGAGAAUAAAAAUUAGUUAUCUAUUCU